rnacentral:ncRNA from 1 species
UCGGGGAGUAUCGUGGUGGUUGUGGUUUAACACCCAAAUGCGGGUAGAGCAUCGCUCGACGUGGAGUUGCGUCAUACAACCGGGUUCCGUGACCCAGAUUACGGAAGAGGCUUAGAUAGUCCUCGUGCCAAACCAAGGUAGAAGUCACAACCAAACAGUCGUGUCUUUAAUUGGUACCUGCGGAAUUGUUCCAAGGGGGCGGUGAUUGACGCUUGAAUUAAUCCUAUACUAGGAACCGUGAGAUUAAGCCAUCGCGGCAGGUGCUCACGUUAAGCCCACUGACUUUCAUGUCCCUAUCUACUAUCUAGCGAAACCACAGCCAAGGGAACGGGCUUGGAAUAAUUAGCGGGGAAAGAAGACCCUUUUGAGCUUGACUCUAAUCUGGCAGUGUAAGGAGACAUAAGAGGUGUAGAAUAAGUGGGAGAUAUUAGACUUCGGUUUGGUAUCGACAAUGAAAUACCACUACUCUUAUUGUUUCCUUACUUACUUGAUUAAAUGGAACGUGUAUCAUUUCCUAGCCAUUAUACGGAUAUAAUUAUUAUGUCUUAUGGUAUUGGGUUUUGAUGCAAGCUUCUUGAUCAAAGUAUCACGAGUUUGUUAUAUAAUCGCAAACAAAUUCUUUAAUGAGAGAAUGCAUUUAUGUAUUAUUGAUUUAAAAAUUUGGUAUAACUCCAAUUACUCACGUAUGAUCCAAUUCAAGGACAUUGCCAGGUAGGGAGUUUGACUGGGGCGGUACAUCUCUCAAAUAAUAACGGAGGUGUCCCAAGGCCAGCUCAGUGCGGACAGAAACCACACAUAGAGCAAAAGGGCAAAUGCUGACUUGAUCUCGGUGUUCAGUACACACAGGGACAGCAAAAGCUCGGCCUAUCGAUCCUUUUGGUUACAAGAGUUUGUAACAAGAGGUGUCAGAUAAGUGACUAUAGGGAUAACUGGCAUGUGGCGGCCAAGCGUCAUAGCGACGUCGCUUUUUGAUCGUUGAUGUCAGCUCUUCCUAUCAUGUGAAGCAAUUUCACAAGCGUUGUAUGGUCACCAUGAAAGGACGUGAGCUGGUUUA